rnacentral:tRNA from 1 species
CAAAAAAUAGUCCAGUUAGGAUCCUGGCUUUGGGAGCCAGGGGCGGGGGUUAGAUUCCCCCUUUUUUGA